CGGACCGAUGAUGAGAUCUGGUGGCGUGUGUGAGUCAUUCACAAAAAUCGCCAAGUAUCCAGAAAUCUGAGGUCAGA
rnacentral:snoRNA from 1 species